AGUGAACGCUGGCGGUAGGCCUAACACAUGCAAGUCGAACGGCAGCACAGUAAGAGCUUGCUCUUACGGGUGGCGAGUGGCGGACGGGUGAGGAAUACAUCGGAAUCUACUUUUUCGUGGGGGAUAACGUAGGGAAACUUACGCUAAUACCGCAUACGACCUACGGGUGAAAGCAGGGGAUCUUCGGACCUUGCGCGAUUGAAUGAGCUGAUGUCGGAUUAGCUAGUUGGCGGGGUAAAGGCCCACCAAGGCGACGAUCCGUAGCUGGUCUGAGAGGAUGAUCAGCCACACUGGAACUGGGACACGGUCCAGACUCCUACGGGAGGCAGCAGUGGGGAAUAUUGGACAAUGGGCGCAAGCCUGAUCCAGCCAUACCGCGUGGGUGAAGAAGGCCUUCGGGUUGUAAAGCCCUUUUGUUGGGAAAGAAAAGCAGCAGGUUAAUACCCCGCUGUUCUGACGGUACCCAAAGAAUAAGCACCGGCUAACUUCGUG
rnacentral:rRNA from 1 species